GAUAAGGUGGCUGAUUAGGCGGUAAAUUGUAAAUUUAUUUAUAAGAUCUCUUCUUUAUCA
rnacentral:tRNA from 1 species